rnacentral:lncRNA from 1 species
CCAAUUAUUGCAUAGACAGUGAAACCUCUGCAAAGAUAUUAAGGAUUUUCAGUUUGAUUUGAUUUUACCUAGAUGCUUGAAAAUAAAGAAACAAUGGAAAGCGCAACCGAGAAAUGGCAGAUUUAGAAGAAGUGCAAACUGGACAAAAGAAGCCAAGAUACAUGUUAGGGAACACACAAAAAGAAAGAAGAGCGAGUAGUGACUGAUGCUACAAGUCAAGACGGCAUUUUCAUCAUUUGCAUGUUAAUGUCUGAGUAAAAUAAAUGUGAAUUGGG